ACGGAAGGCAGCAGUGAGGAAUAUUGGUCAAUGGGCGGAAGCCUGAACCAGCCAAGUAGCGUGCAGGACGACGGCCCUAUGGGUUGUAAACUGCUUUUGUCAGGGAAUAAAAAGGAUUACGUGUAGUCCAUUGCAUGUACCUGAAGAAUAAGGACCGGCUAAUUCCGUGCCAGCAGCCGCGGUAAUACGGAAGGUCCGGGCGUUAUCCGGAUUUAUUGGGUUUAAAGGGAGCGCAGGCGGCGAUUUAAGCGUGUUGUGAAAUGUAGGAGCUCAACUUCUGCACUGCAGCGCGAACUGGAUUGCUUGAGUACGCGGGAAGUAGGCGGAAUUCGUCAUGUAGCGGUGAAAUGCAUAGAUAUGACGAAGAACGCCGAUUGCGUAGGCAGCAGACCAGGCCGUAAAUGACGCUCAUGCACGAAAGUGCGGGGAUCGAACAGGAUUAGAUACCCUGGUA
rnacentral:rRNA from 1 species